CCAAACGUUUUCCCUUUAAGUUUUUUGGCAAAAAUCAAAGUCUUAAUUUAGAGAGAUUAGAGGAGGAGAAAAAAACCCUUCCACUACAUAUCAAAAGAAAGCCCAAAAUCGGAGUAAAGGCACUCUCUCUUUAGCUGCUUCCGCCGCAUCAUCACAUGCCAUCUUCGGCAGUUUUAGUACUCAAUGUACAGUUCAUACCAACAUGGUGUAUGAAAUUUAAUACCGUUGCGAUCUAAGUUCCUCGCCGCCCAAAAACCUAACUGGUCAAAGGUUUAUAAGCCAUGAAAAUAUGAGAAAGUUUUCAUUGCAAAACAAUCAAAUCUCUUGAAAUCAGAAACUGCUCUACUUGGUCUGAGUCCAUCCAACAGUUGGUAGGCAGGGGACAUGAUGCAAACUAUCUGUUUUGAUGAUAUAGUAGUUGGUAAUUUCUGGAAUUUUUGUUCACUUUAGUUUCAGUUUUCUCUUUUAUUUUUGUGCUAUUUGUGUAAUGGGUAUUCUGCAAUUAUGACAAAUACAAAGGUCUCGCUUCUACGUAUGAUAUUGAGCAAGUAUUGUUUAAGCCUUA